GUGGUCCGUGAGCAGGGGAAACCCCCUGGGAGAAAUAAAACCUGUUUCUCUAACUCUUAUUUAUAUCCAAGCUCAGCUGUGGGUCAAUCUGUGGUAGCAGCAAUUAGAAGUGAAGGUGCAGAGGGCACCUUCCCCACUGAAAUUCAAAAGUUAAUUUGGGAUAAUGCAACUACAUUUGAAAAAGAAUUCAAUCUUGGUGGUAUCUAGUCAAUUUUACUUACAUUGCUGAUUAAAUUAUUAAAUUGUUCUUAUCUCGACCCUCGACUUUGAACAUUCCUUUCCAAUUCUCCUCCCCACCCCUCUGGGUGGUGGGCAGUCAACAAGCAGCUGUGUGGUGCUUGGUUGCCGGCUGGGAUUAAACCCCAACAUUUUGGUACAUCAUAAAACAAAAACCCCAGCUUCAGCCACCCAAACCACACAAAUGAGCACAUCACAAAUAGCUCUGCUCGACUAUCUACUUACUGUGGACCUGUAAGCGUGUAAAUGACCAGUAUCCUAGUUAUGGCACAGAGGCAAGAGGUGAGCAUGCCACCACUCUGUGAGGGUAAGAGGAACUGACUGUCAUCUUGGGGUGGAGGGUGGUGAUGUGCUCCCCCUGUCGCCAGUCGUCCCCCCCCCCCCCCCCCCCCCGCAUUCUAACCUGUGUUGCAUCACAAUGCUCAAGUGAUGACCACCAGUGGUGGCGGUGACGGGCGGCUCUGGUCCUGGCUCACAGUGCGUUCCGGGAGACAGAUAAGAGCCCGACAGCCAAGGGCUAGUUUGAACAACGUGCCCACCUGGCAGUGCUGGCCACGGUCUGACUCAGGCCAAGCCUGGAAGAGGCUGACUUCUGUAGGCGGUGUGCAGAUGUGACUGUGAGGUAAUUCUCUGACUCUGUUAAUCUUGGACGGCCCAGGGCCCGUUGAGCUCUGCCGUGCAGCACCAGCUGGCACAGCUCUCGCCUUGAGUAGGGAUGCCUCUCUAGGCUAUAUGCAGCAUUUUAUCUCUGUUUUGCUUGUUUCUGAAGGGAAAACCUUCAUUUGGGAACGCUGAGCACCGUAUGAAAAGACCUGAGGCUUGAAAUCCACAGCAAAGGCACGUAGUGCUGACCUGCACCCAGUUCCUCGCAGCAGGAUGUUGUGCCAGGAGAGGGCAAGAACGUGGGCAGCAACGGGGCCUGCGCCUGUGGGUGUUGAUGGAGCCAGCGGCUCGGGCGAUCACAAGUCGAGCAGGGUGUUGCACGUGGUAAGAGAGGCGCAUCCUCUCGCAGCACGUCUUGCUGACCUACUGAAUUGUGUUUUCCCAUCAGCACGGUCGGCACAUUGUCCUUGUUUCACUGUUCACUGAAAGCCAUUCCCACAGGUUACCGAGGAGCUGGACUGUAAAGCCAAGGAAUCGGGAGCAGGUACAGCCACAGGCAGACAGAGUAUGGUUCUUAAGUAGCUUGCACAAUGGCAUAAUUUACUGUCUCCGCUGGGCUCUUGUGAGCGUCAGCAAAGGGAUUCAGCAAAGCCUUCAGAUUCUCACUGUGUCCCUGCCGCUGAGACUUCAAGAGCCACUGUCCCCUGUUCUCUUUGCAGCUGCAGUGCCACUGGGAGCAGUGGGUUUGGAGGGCAGGCUCCCAGGGAGGUGGGAAGAGGGGAGAGCUUCCAGCCAGGGCUCCGCCGUGGGUGGGAUGCGACAAGGGUGGGGAAGAGUGUGACAAGGGAAUCGGGGAGGCAGAAGCCCUGCAAAGAGCCAGGUUUCUGCAGGUGGGUGGUUUGUUUUCAUUCUAGCGCUUUGGCUGAUUAAGGGCGGGACUCUGAGCUGAGAGGCUUGGCUAAAAGGCCAGAGCAGUGCACCUGCAGGAGCACAUCACAAGACUGGCUCCCAGUGUGCUGGGAGGGCUUGGGUUAUCGGCAACCUGACUGCUUUGCAGCUGAGCGUCUCCUUGGUGCGCGAAGUCAGUGGUGGCAAGAUUCAAAAUGGGCAUGUCUGUAGGAGAAGGCCUCAAGGGCAAGAGUCCAAGUACUGAUAGCCUGAUGAAUAGAGACUCGUUAGAACUUGUAGGGCACAAGCCCUGGGAACAAAGGAACAAGCUAACUGCAGACCCCUGAGCCGUUACAGCUGAGGAGGCAACCAGACGGACAGAGAAACGAGUAGCCAGAUAAGGGAACGGAGAGCGCCGAUAUGUACCUUUGUUAAUCAAGAAAGCCGCCCAUAAGGAAACCCCCUAAUUUUGGAAUAGAAAUUGUUGCUAUGUCAAGGUAAACUAGUAAGUUCCUAUUGUUUUAACGGUGUGCCUUAAAUAUCAACCAAUCAGUGUUUUUUACGCUUAAGAUUUAAGCAAUCAGUGUGUAAUAUGUAGAAGGUAGAAACGUAUAUAAUUGUAAGACAAUCACUAAUAAACCGACAACUUGCUUGCAUCAAGCUGCGUCCCGUCUCUUCAUUCGCCGCACAUGUCGGUCUUUUCACUCCCUUUUUUUGAGGCUCUGCAAAUGAGAACAGAGCGCUACGGUGAGCUACUAAAGAAAGAAGACCUACAUCUGUCUGUCUUCAGAUUCCCCAGAUGUUCUCAGUGAGCUGGGUGAGAAGAAAGCCUAUGGGACUGGAGGACUGCUGGGUCACAAUCACCACAAGUGUUUGAGAUCAUCCUGGCGUACCUGGAGAAGAAAGACUGGAAGGACGCCUCGUCAGUGUCUUGCCACAGCGGAAAGGGGCUGUUGCGUUGGGAGAGGCCGAUGAUUCGUCCAAGCGUGCUCUGUCUGGAAAAGAAGAUGGAGACGAUGACUCGGACAGCGACUAGGCUUCACAAUGAGACGAUGGGAAAGAUGGGACACGUAGUCCGUGGGAUGAAGUUUGGACGUGAAGUGGUUCCGCUCCAAAGACCAUCUGCUGCCCUUGUGACACCGGAUUGUCCCAAUGCUCGAUAGUUCCGUAGCUGGCCCAGAGCUGUUCCUGGACAUGAAGGGCAAAGAUAAAUGUGGGUUUUUUACCCUGAAGCUUCCGUAUUAAUAGCUUAUUUUUGUAAAAAAUAAAGUAAUGGCAAAUGUAGAAUUUAUUUUGUUUCCCAAGGAAGCGAUUGCAUUCCUUUUUUUUUUUUUUUACAAUUCUUUUAAAUGUGACUUUUUCUACAUACCAAGUUGGGCACGUUACCCAAGAGCAUUAGUAGAUGCUAUUUGAAUGGAUGCCGCCUUCUCUGUUCCUGCCCUAAGUUUUCUUGAAAGCGGUGAAUGGUGACCUCACAACCUGUUCCGCUAGUGCCGUUGCCAAGUGUGCAUGAACACUCGGCACAAACAAGCAGAAAUUCUAAUUUUCCUGAGCUCCUCAACAGACAAUCACCAGCAACCAAACUGCCUUCAUCAGCUGAGCCACGCUGACUUGUAUACCAUGCGCAGAUAGCUGGGGUCGGUAGAUGAGCUACGAGCGUGGGGUUACGCCAAUGCUUUAGACUUCAGCUUGAGCAGGAUGGACGUCUGCGCAAGCGCGAAUCACGUGCCUUGGUUGGCACAUGGUGCGCAUGGAGUUGAGGCGUCACGAUCGCUUUUGGUUACUUCUCGGUCCUCCUAGCAAAAUUGAUCACGGAGCCUCAGAACAGUACCAGGAGACAGGAGCUCUCUCUUUCAAGUCACUUACUGAGUUUCAGUAGGUCUGAUUUAUGACAUGAUCCUGCGUGCAUUGUUUUCUCUGUCAAAUAUUUUUCCUUUACAAAAAGAGGCAUAGUCUCAGUUUUGGCUGGAUGUUCUGGUUCCACUCAUUUCUAACUGACUGAAGUGCUCUUGCAAAGGACGGAAACGGAGACCGUGGAAGCGUGGCUUCGCUUCAGGCUUGUGAGCCUGCCCCAUCCCUUUCUCCUGUAGGGACUAGCCAGGAGGCUCUGAAAACUUGGCCAUAUUCAGUCAUCACGAUCCAGUGCAUAACUCCUGCUUACUUCUGCGUUCGCUGUGCACUCCAAAGAGUUCACGUAUUUCUCGAGUGGGCCAGCUCUGCAGUGAUAAGAUUACGUCUCGGGAGAAGGAUAGAAAGAAGUACUUGCAGAAGAAGCUUAGUUUGCAAGCUGAGGACUUCACGGAGCAUUUAGCAAUAGUUGACAUGGAUGUGUGACUGUUGAAGUCAGGCUACUACCCGAACCUUCUCAGUAACAGCAGACACAUCCUAAAGACUAGAGACUCCCAGCUUUUUGGGGUAGGGACAAGCAAUAGUUCAGAAGCUGGGACAUCUAAUUUUAUCAGAGGACACAGAAACGUCGCUGCCUCACAGAGCAGCCUUGAGAGUUACUCUGCCGCUGCUGCACCCUGACGUGAUUGUAAGAAUCUGCUUCAGCUUCUCGUGCUAGUGAAUCCAGGCCUCUAAUAAGGCAGGCAGGUGGGAUCAAGGAUAACGUAACACAAACAGCUUUAAUGCUUAUCUUGAGUCACACGUUGAACAUAACCUUGUUCUUCUCUUUAUUACUAGGAUGGGUGAAGUGCCCUUGAGAGAGCUUUGUUGUCAGACGUCUAGCAAAUACAGUCACGGGUGCUUUGGAAAGGGAAAUGGGUGAGAAGGUGCAAUUGAUUGUAACUAUCCUUGCAAACUAUUGCCCUUCUGGCUCUUACCACGUUUGUUCCAUGACCUGUCAGCUUCAAAGUUCAUGGAGGGAAUGCAACCGUGCUGUUGAAAGACUACAUUAAUGUGGUUGCUUUAGUUUUGGUUCUGUUCAGUAGUGAUCCUGUGAGGCCUCUGCGAUGUAAUUAAGGUUUUCAGGCUCAGCUGCUGCAGCAUGGUGCUGAGGGACAGCUGGUAGGAAACACUCAGGACAGAGAUUUGAAUGGGAUUAAGACAGUCAUGAGUACAGCCCAAAAGCAUGUGGUCAAGUUCAAGUGUGGCCCGUUCAACAAGUCAUUACCACAGCCCUGUCAGUGUGUGGUCACUUAACCCUGCUGUCUGGUUUCCAGCUGACUUUGUAGUGUUUACACCUAAGACACCAGGGAAGUUGCAAAGCACUGCCAGCUCCUGUCCUGCUAGAAGCUCCGUCCCCAUUUACUGCAGACGGCAGACUCCUACUCUUGUGCAGCUGUACAGAAAUUGCAUAUCUCGGAAAAUGUUCCCCAUUUACAUGGCUUUGUGCGAAUGAGUUUCUGCCUCUGUGGUCUGAGUUGGCAGGCAGACCUGAGUAAUGCCCACUCUGUGUGACUGGCCUUUGGCCAGCCAUUCAUAAAAACUCUGUUUCCUGAAUGUGCGGCCACACGUUCCUUCAGCCUUACCAGCCUGCUCCGCUGGGGGCUCUAGCACAGCUGGGCACGUGCAGCAGUGAGUGAGCAGCACGAGAAAGCCGAGCUGAGGUAGGCCACCGGGUCUUGGCAUACUCCUCUCCUGCAGCGGGAGAUGGGAAUGGAGGUGGUAGUUGUGACUAUAGUAGGCAUGAUUUGAAGGCAGGGGCCCUUGGAAAGAGAACACUGAGCUCUGCGCUGAGCUAAGCUCCUCCUUCUUUAACGCUGUGCUGCCAGGGUUUCUCUCCUUCCCCGCAAACGGCCAGAUGCCUUGAGUGAGCUUGUCUGCACCGAAUCAUCUGAGUCUGGAAAACAGAUGGGAGUAGGGUUGACUUGUCACCUUGUCUUGUUUUUGUGAGAUUUAAUUGGCAGAGGUAUCUUUUAGAUGGGUAAGCCCCAGUUCUUCCGCUUUCACAGUCCACUCACAGGGCCUGAAAAAGGGCCAGAUGCAUUUCUGUCCUUGUUGGCUGUAUUUCAACAGCUCGAGGUUUGCACGGUGCAUUGGAAGGCUGGUUUUGGUCUCAUCCUGUCUCGUCCGUGUCUCCCCCCUCCGCAUUGGAUGCUACAGUGUGUGCUGCUUCUCUGCCAGUCGUGAGAGCUGUGAAAGCAAAUUCCAGCUUGCUGUGAGGCAGACGACUGCAGUCAUUGUGCAGGCCACAUGUGGCAAGUCCAGGGUCUUUCUUUUUCUUUUUUUUUUUUUCUUUUCUUCCCCAGUGCCUAGGGCUUGGUGUGCAUCUCUGCAGACAGGGUGUGCGUGCCCCUCUUCCUACCCCAGUAUGUCUGUGACUGCAGAGCCAAGCCUACACACAAGAGCUCUUUGUGCAGGCCUGGCUGAGUCACGCAAACAGAUGACCCUGAUGCCAAAAGGCGUUGCCUCUGUCCCUCUUUUCAUUUAGCUCGCGUCUCAUGUACCUGUGCAGCAUGGUUGGGUUGAAUGACUUGAGGACAAAAUACAAUGAACAUCAAAUUGUUUUAUUAGGAAGUCUGAACGCCUGUCUUUAUAAUCUAAGUGCUCAGGUCACAUAUUUCUGUAUGUGAAGGUGGCUGGGAGAUGCUUCAGCGGCUGUGAAUAGGGGAGGCCUCCGCUGGAAAAGGGAUAUCCGUGGUUUGGGGGCGGCCGUGGUACAGGUGAGAUUUCUGGUAGAGUGUGAGGGCAGGACGGCCUCUUGUUUCCACCACACUUUCUCAGCUGUAGCUCUUCCCUGGGAAGAGCAUGUCUGCUUGCGCUGGACCUCUCUUUCUCAGCGUUGCGGACAAAAGAUGUUCUUUCUCCCUUUCUGGAAAACAUUUUGGAAAAGCAAGCUGUAUAUUACGAGGCUAGGCUUAGGAUGCUGUUAGGCUCGUUUGGCUUUGUUCGGUACGCAGCUGAGAGUAUAGAAGCACAUCUGCUCUUUGGCAAAGAAGCCUCACUGGGCACCGCUGUCGAAAAGCAGAGGUGCUUGCUUUGGAGGUUUCCUCUUCCUCCUUCUAGUUCUUAGGUAAGAUUCCUCUUCACCCUCUCCUCCAGCUGAGUUCCAAGCAAUAGUAAAUGCUGGCAGCGUCAGAGCUGGCAUGAGUGGCUUUGUUAAAAUGAUCACGUACGCUGGGACUGGCUUGUGUUGCCUCCGUGUGCUUCAGAAGGGGCACAAAGAGGUGACGGUGGCGUUCCUUGGCAGCGCCAGUAUGUUUGGCUUGCCCUGACUGGGUAGAGGGUGCAAGAGUGGGCUUUGGUAGCUGGAAAGGUCUGAGGAGGCCUGACGUAGCCUGCAGAGAGUGAGGGCGAGAUGUUAGCAGAGGGCGAAUGCCAGAGUUUGUUGGCAGAGGGAGUUUCAGCUUGCGUGUGACUUACAGGAGCAGACCUCAGAAUGUCACAGGCUCACGGAACGGCUGGGGUUGGAAGGGACCUGUGCAGGCCAUGUCGUGCAACCCCCUGCUAAAGCCGGUUUGCCUCGAGCGGGUUGCACAGGGUCGCGUCCAGGUGGGGUUUGAGUAUCUCCAGGGAAGGAGGCUGCACAGCCUCUCUGGGCAGCCUGUGCCAGGGCUCCGACAGCCUCCAAGUGAAGGUGUUUUCCCUCACACUCGGAUGGAAUUUCCUGUGUUUCAGUUGGCGCCCGUCGCCCCUUGUCCUGACGCUGGGCACCACUGAAAAGAGCCUGGCCCCAUCCUCUUGACACUUGCCCUAAAGAUAUUUAU